UCCAACUUGAGAGUUUGAUCCUGGCUCAGAGCGAACGCUGGCGGCAGGCUUAAUACAUGCAAGUCGAGCGGGCGUAGCAAUACGUCAGCGGCAGACGGGAGAGUAACACGUGGGAACGUGCCCUUCAGUUCGGAACAACCCAGGGAAACUUGGGCUAAUACCGGAUACGUCCGAAAGGAGAAAGAUUUAUCGCUGAAGGAUCGGCCCGCGUCUGAUUAGCUAGUUGGUGAGGUAAUGGCUCACCAAGGCGACGAUCAGUAGCUGGUCUGAGAGGAUGAUCAGCCU
rnacentral:rRNA from 1 species